GCUAUAAAUACAUAAUUUGUAAGCAGUAAUCUUACAACAUCUCCAUUAUCUCUCAAUUUUCCAACUUUUUCUUUACAGAUAUGAAAAAGUUCGACACUUGGAUACUCAUAUUGGUCAACCUCAGUUUAGUCCUCCUACGUUUCUAUCUAUUCUUGUGCUGCAUGAAGUGACUCCAGUCGGAUAUCUUAUUGCACCGCCAGAAGGAAACCAAUUGGACCUCAGAGUGAUUGGAAGCUGAAUAAUAAUAUCCAUGUAUCCAAGAAGGAGCACAAAAGCAAAAAAAUUCAGCCAGGAAUCUCUGAUAUAGUUGAAUUGCUGGAUGCUUACAGAGGUUAAAAAGCUCAGAGAAGCAGGUUGGGAACAUUUAUUUAAUUUGAGAAGUAUACAAUGUUUGGGGACAAAGUCAAUUGUUGUGGUAUUUCAAUAAACUACAGAAUAUUUGCUUUUGAUUAGGAAACAUCAUUUGAUUACUGUUGGGCAGAUGAUGGUGCUGUGAUCAUUUGCUUCACUUCUGGGAAAAGAUAUCCUGGAAAUCAACCAUCCCGAAAGUUCUUUCGGCAUAAAGACCAGAGUGAUAUGAAAUUUUAGUAAAUUUAGAUUCUGUAUAAAAUUUAGGAAAAUCAAACAGAAACUGGCAGCAUCGCAUGGGCAAGCUACCUAGUUUUAGCUUAGGUUUAAAUAUUAGUGCAUUUUUGUAUCUGUAUAAUUAUACCUCAAAUAUUAUC